rnacentral:snoRNA from 1 species
UAUAACCAGAGGGAGAGCGGGCUGGAAGUUAGGUUACUGUGAAUUGCUGUGUGGUGUUGUGUGUGGUGUGUGGGGGGGGUGGGGGGUGGGGGGCGGCGCGUGUAGGCCGAGUGUGUGAGUGGACGCGUGAAUGUGUGAGUGGAUGAGUUAACGUGUGAGUGCGUGUGCCUGCCCCUGCGCCCCCUCGCCCGGCCUACACGUUAAUCUUAUUUGAUCGGGUUGUGACUCCAGCCCCGCCGGGCCGACCCGAAAUGAAAAGCUUCCCUCCUGCGAAGCCCUUCCUCGGGGCGCUGUGCAGCGAGGCCCCUUGGGCGGUGGCAACGCCGUGGCCCCGGAGGUUCCGGAGCCGGUCCUAUGGUGCCCGGCGCUCAGAAGUGAUGAAUUGAUCAGAUAGACGAGGCCGGUCUUGUCCCGCGCCAUUGAUUAUCGAGGCGAUUCUGAUCUGA